GACGAACGCUGGCGGCGCGCCUAACACAUGCAAGUCGAACGGAGUUAUUUUCUUCACUCCGAGCUUUUUGCCAGUUAGCCGGAGCGGCAAUCGGUUUUGCCCAGCAUACAAAGCAAAACCGAUUUAGGCUCAUAAAGUAAGACUAACACAGAGGGCAGAGAGUUGGGAGUGAAGAAAAUAACUUAGUGGCGAACGGGCGAGUAACGCGUGAGUAACCUGCCCUGGAGUGGGGGACAACAGUUGGAAACGACUGCUAAUACCGAAUGACGUUGCGCUGUCGCAUGACGGUGCAACCAAAGGCCGGGCAACCGGUCACUGAAGGAUGGGGCCUGCGUCUGAUUAGCUAGUUGGUGAGGUAACGGCCCACCAAGGCGACGAUCAGUAGCCGGUCUGAGAGGAUGAACGGCCACAUUGGGACUGAGACACGGGCCCAAACUCCUACGGGAGGCAGCAGU
rnacentral:rRNA from 1 species